UACGUAGGGUGCAAGCGUUAAUCGGAAUUACUGGGCGUAAAGCGUGCGCAGGCGGUUAUGUAAGACAGGUGUGAAUCCCGGCUUAACCUGGAACUGCAUUGUGACUGCAUAGCUAGAGUACGGUAGAGGGAUGAAUCGCGUGUAGCAGUGAAUGCGUAGAUAUGCGAGACACGAUGCGAGCAUCCUGACCUGUACUGACGCUCAUGCACGAAGCGUGGAGCAACGAGAUUACGAACCGACGUAGAUCCAGACA
rnacentral:rRNA from 1 species